rnacentral:rRNA from 1 species
AGCGUAGGUGGCCUAACAUGUCAACUGUGAAAACCCGGAGCUCAACUCCGGACUUGCAGUUGAAACUGGUAGGCUUGAGGACGGUAGAGGAAGACGGAACUGCCAGUGUAGAGGUAAAAUCCUUAGAUAUUGGCAGGAACGCCGGUGACGAAGGUGGUUUUCUGGGCCGGUUCUGACACUGAUGCUCGAAAGCCAGGGGAGCGAACG